rnacentral:rRNA from 1 species
GUGCCAGCCGCCGCGGUAAGACGAAGGGGGCUAGCGUUGUUCGGAAUUACUGGGCGUAAAGCGCGUGUAGGCGGUUUUCCAAGUUGGGUGUGAAAGCCUUGGGCUUAACCCAAGAAAUGCACUCAGUACUGGAAGACUAGAGGACCGGAGAGGAUAGUGGAAUUCCCAGUGUAGUGGUGAAAUACGUAGAGAUUGGGAAGAACACCAGUGGCGAAGGCGGCUAUCUGGACGGUUUCUGACGCUAAGACGCGAAAGCGUGGGGAGCAAACAGGAUUAGAUACCCCCGUAGUCC